AUGGACGGUGACGGCCGACACGACGACGGCGACUGGGUGCUGCCCUGCUCUGCCCUCGCCGACGUUACUCUGGCCCUCGUCGGAAAGAUCGGUUCCGGUAAGAGCGCCACCGCGAACCGCAUCCUUGGAAAGGAAGCAUUUCCCUCUGAGUUGUCCUACAGCGGGGUUACUUUGACUUGCCAGAAGAGAAGCAGGACGCUUCACGAUGGCUGUGCGACCCGCACCCUCAAUGUCAUCGACACUCCGGGCUUAUUUGAGGUGGACACUACACCUGAAAACGUUCACACAGAGAUUGCCAGGUGUUUGGACAUGACAAAAGAUGGACAUGCGAUACUGAUGGUUUUUUCAGCUACAUGUCGGUUUUCUCAUGAAGAUGAGAAAACAGUAGAGUCAAUUAAACUGCUUCUUGGGGAUAAAGUCCUUGACCAUAUGAUUUUAGUUUUCACACAUGGAGAUCUAGUGGGAGAAGAGAUAAGUUGGAAGAAAAAGUUAAGUGACAGUGCCCCAGCAUAUCUGCAGGACAUGUUAAACCUAUGUAAAAACAGGGUUGUUCUGUUUAACAAUAAGACAAGCAAUAAGAAGCGCCAUUUGGCACAGCUGAAAAAAUUGCUUGAUGCAGUGGACUCUGUUAUAUCCAGCAAUGAUGGAUACCCAUUUUCCAACCAGAUCAGUCGAAUUCAGCAAGCACAGAGUAGGGAAGAAAUAAGUGUUGACGAAUGCUCAGUAGAACAGAUGUCCAAAAUGAAGAAAGAGAUACAUGAUGAAUGCCUUGCACAGCUUGCGAAGAUGGUGGAGGAAAAACUAAAUAGUACAAUCACUAGGCUUGAAAAACUACUGUUGGAAGAGCAGAAAGCCAGGCUGGAGUCGGAGAAUGAGGUGGCAGAAGCAUUAUUACGAUCAGAAAAGGAGAUCAAGAAGCUCAGUGAGAUACUACAGAAGGCUAAGCAGGAGACUGAAAGCACACAAAAAGAAAUGGAGAAACUCAGAAAAAGAGAGUGA
rnacentral:rRNA from 1 species